CAUUUCGCUCUCAACAGCAACAGAUCGAGAUAGGUGCGCACGUACUCGAGCAAAUCGGCCUGCUCGUUGCGUGGUUCCGCUCGCAGUACGAGCCAGUUAGAGAUCGCCUCACAGACAGCGCUCCGAUUGCUCAGUGCGCGCAGUAUCAUCCGCUCGAGAAGGUCCACCUCAGUCAUCGGUGCAUCUCGAAGAAGUACGGGACGCUCUCGUCCUGGGCAGGCGCACCGAUCGUUCGGUUUGAUAAGCUCCUCUAGCACAGCAAAACACAUCGCGAGAGUACAAACCUCGUACAAACAUUCGCCUUGCCGGGUGUCGCUUCGUGGUGGUCCCGUUGAAAGUGAUGAUGGAGUACUGAAGAACAUCCCCAAAGCGAGCCACUAAGUUGGGAUCUUCUAGCAUAAACUUCCCAUCCACCGGAUCGGUAGCGUUUUGGCACAGGGCACAGUCGAGAGCCUCCGUACGGCCACCGUAGUACUUCACGUACAGCUCCACACCCAGCAGCUCAGUGUCCGGAUUGUACGCUGUCCACAGGCGAAUGCCUUUCGGUGCGAGGACUUCGAUAUAAAUCUUGCCUACCUUGUGGCCCCACUGCUGUUCGUCCGAAUCGUCGCCUCGGAACCAAUCCAGCAAACCGGCAUUGGACCAGCGAAAAACCAUCACCAUUAAAACCAGCGCACGAAGAAGGUAACGCGCCAUUAUUUGAGCGUUCGGUUCCUUAUCGGUUCUGGUAGCAAUUUUACAAACGCAGCACUUUGUGAGUCAAAAUGCCUCCACAAACAAACUCACUGUACUGCAGCCCGCCGAGUGUUUUAUGCGCACGAAGUGUUCUUGUUCUCCUUUUCCAGCUAGCUUAUCGCUAGCUACGUCAGGGGUGAGUCCUCAGGUUCACUUCUCGUUCACCAGCUCUCUUCAUCUCGCUUCUCGUUGAUGCGCCGCUGUCGCAAAGAUGCUGUCGUCCCAUCAAUUAACAGCAAUCGCCAUCGAAGUUAGAAUAAAUUAAUUAAGAAGCAAGUUGUUACCAAUUUCUUGCACCGGUCACGUUGCGUAGCAUCGUUUCUUUUAAAAGUGAAAACUACACCCCUCCAGACCGCUCACCCGUCCCCCUUGCUGCGACAAACUUAUCGGAAUGUUUUCCCGGAACUCUUCGCUCGUUUUUCCUUCGCAACCAUUAGCACAUCCCAUUUGCCACUGGCAGCGUGUCUUGCUGCAGAAAGUAAUUAAGCAAACAAUAAUUUAUUUCGCCAGCACAAUUCAUCUCCCGUGCGUUCUGUUUCCUCCAUCGCGCCCGAAACCCUUCCUCAACCCCCCCAUGUUUUCCGGCUCCAUUCCCUUCGCCCUCAAUGCAGCGUUCGGCUGAAGACUGCGGUAGCUUAAAAAUUCAUUAUCGCACGGGAUUUUUCCCGCUUCCGGUUUGGAAAGCCCAUCCCAGUGAUACUGUGCUCUCGAGAGUCACGAGAGGGUUUCCGGUAGCGAGAUGGGUGCGAAAACUCCCCACCGACGGGGAGGUGGAUGGCCAUUUCGCUAUACGGACCCGAUGAUUGGUUGCGGGUGCGGAAUUUAAAAAUGGUGCGGUGGCUUGGAAAUGUUUCUCCGACGUGCUCCGACACGGUGUGAAGGUGUUAAUAGAGAAGACCGACGUCAUACUGACUGGCACUGGGCCAUCGUUACCUCGGGGGCAACCUUCACUCGGUUACCAAGAAUCCAGAAAAGCUUAUUGGCUUUGUUGAAAAAUAUUAAAAACAAUGUUUCGAGGCAUAAGUAUGAACCUACGUUAGUCGGGGCAUUGAGAUGUUAUUUUAUUCUUGUAAGGACAUUUUUCGACUCAUCUACCCUAUUCUAUUCAGGCCAAGCAAUGAUAUCAUACAGCGUGACCACUUCACAAAGCUUUGGUUCCGCGGGUGCUACCAACUUCAAACAAUUUAAACAGCAAAUGCUUCUCCACAAUACAACACUACCCGGAAGCGGAUCGACGUUCAACAAUCGCGAACUUACAUGGUGGUUACUACACCGGUGUCCUCUCGCGUACCCGCUCGCAUACGCAUGCUUCCCGGUUCUCAACUGCAAAUGUAUCACGAUUUUCCGCUGAAUGCAUCAACACCGUACACGUGGAAAAGUUUGGCGCGUGUUACGCGCUGCUUCGCCCUUUUGAUAACGAAGCCCAACAAUGACCCGAACAAAUGUUGCUGCCAAAACUUCCCCCAAAGUUUCCCUACCAUUGUUUUCACGGUCUAUUGUGCUUUGUUUCGCUUUGAUGUGUAUGUGUGUGUGUGUGUGUGUGUGUGUGUGUGUGGGACUGCCAUAUUAUACAGGAACCAGAGUUCGUGGCGCGUUGGGGAUUGUUCAAAAAGCUUCAAUUACGGUUCUGAUAGCGUUGUUAGCUGGUGUAGUCGUGUAUUAUGCCGCGAAUUGGUUGAAAGUUUAGAAAAUAGAUCAACGCGUACUCGCACGAAAGACCUCUUAGCUGUGAUACUUGAAAUCUUAAAAGAGGCGAAUGAAGUCUCAAACACCCAAAGCCUCUAUAAAUAA